rnacentral:rRNA from 1 species
GACGAACGCUGGCGGCGUGCCUAAUACAUGCAAGUUGAGCGCUGAAGGUUGGUACUUGUACCAACUGGAUGAGCAGCGAACGGGUGAGUAACGCGUGGGGAAUCUGCCUUUGAGCGGGGGACAACAUUUGGAAACGAAUGCUAAUACCGCAUAAAAACUUUAAACACAAGUUUUAAGUUUGAAAGAUGCAAUUGCAUCACUCAAAGAUGAUCCCGCGUUGUAUUAGCUAGUUGGUGAGGUAAAGGCUCACCAAGGCGAUGAUACAUAGCCGACCUGAGAGGGUGGUCGGCCACAUUGGGACUGAGACACGGCCCAAACUCCUACGGGAGGCAGCAGUAGGGAAUCUUCGGCAAUGGACGAAAGUCUGACCGAGCAACGCCGCGUGAGUGAAGAAGGAUUUCGGAUCGUAAAACUCUGUUGGUAGAGAAGAACGUUGGUGAGAGUGGAAAGCUCAUCAAGUGACGGUAACUACCCAGAAAGGGACGGCUAACUACGUG